CGGAAAAGUGCCCUUGAAAAUUGCUUACUCUCCCACUAAAAUAUACAGGAUUUGUACUCCAAGGGACAAAGCAGAAGUACAAUGAAUAACUGCAAUCAGGAAAAAACAAUUUUCUGUUGCUGAAGCAGAAGCUGGAAGAUGAUCAGAGAGGAAAGCAGAAACACUGAGAUCUGUGAGGAUACAAGCAAAUAAAGAAAAGUAAAAGAGGUUAGAUUAUGAAACAAAUUGUGGUUCAAACCAGGCAGAGGAAAGCUUCUAUCAAACGAGUUUUAACCUUCCACAUGCUUUCAUUUAUAAUUAUUAUUUAUGACGAUUACUACCAUCAAUUUGUUUAGUGAGCUGAGUGUACAUGUUAUCCUGGCAAGUGUCAAUGAAAUAAACAAUCUCUUCCCCUUCAAAUCUAAUAUGCUAAAAGUGGCAGGAUACUAACUAGAUCUCGCACAACCUGAUAAAAUUAUUACAGCCUGAACAUGUGUAGUAUAGAGGAGUCUUUUAAGAAGAUCUCUGAAGGAAGAAACUGAAGGAUGCUGACAUAUUAAUAAGAAAGCUGCUGCAAGCAUAUGCACAGGCUGAAGAUGUGCAGUCUGGAGUGUGCAGGGGACAUGAGGCAGGGUUGAGGGCAGGCAUGGGGAGGAGAAGAGCUGGUCCAAGCCUUGCUGUUGAGUCAGGACAAUGCUCAGAGCCAAGUAGGUGAUUUUACUGGCAAACCAGCCUCCUCAUCAAGACUGCCAUGCAAGAGAGAUAUCGCCUCUGAAGAAGGCACAAUUUAGCCUCUUACCCUUUCUCAGGGAGGCAACGAGAGAGGACCUAAAAUGAG